rfam:Ancylostoma ceylanicum strain HY135 Acey_s0112_scaf, whole genome shotgun sequence.
CCAACGGCCCUCUUUAGGGCCACUUUUUGAACUGAAUACUUGGUG